rnacentral:rRNA from 1 species
AUUGAACGCUGGCGGCAGGCCUAACACAUGCAAGUCGAGCGGAUGAAGGGAGCUUGCUCCUGGAUUCAGCGGCGGACGGGUGAGUAAUGCCUAGGAAUCUGCCUGGUAGUGGGGGAUAACGUCCGGAAACGGGCGCUAAUACCGCAUACGUCCUGAGGGAGAAAGUGUGGGAUCUUCGGACCUCACGCUAUCAGAUGAGCCUAGGUCGGAUUAGCUAGUUGGUGGGGUAAAGGCCUACCAAGGCGACGAUCCGUAACUGGUCUGAGAGGAUGAUCAGUCACACUGGAACUGAGACACGGUCCAGACUCCUACGGGAGGCAGCAGUGUGGAAUAUUGGACCAUGGGCGAAAUCCUGAUCCAGCCGUGCCGCGUGUGUUAAGAAGGUCUUCGGAUUUUAAAGCCCUUUAAGUUGGGAGGAAGGGCAGUAAGUUAAUACCUUGCUGUUUUGACGUUACCAACAGAAUAAGCACCGGCUAACUUCGUG